GCAGCUGUCCUCACCGUAGAGGAAAAUGAACCAGGAAGAAAAGGAAACCAAGUGAAGGAGGGAACGGAACUGCCGACCGAACCAGUAUGUUUUAAAACUUGUUUGAAGCAGCAGUUUCCUGCUAAUGGCGCCUCCACUGGAACAAUAGCAAUUUAACAUUUCAUGAGGGAUAGCUGUCUAGCUUGAUGUUCACGGCUCAGAUGACAGCACCGCUUCAAACAAAGCGACUACCCAGCUAAGCAGCCACCCAGCCACCCUGUCAGUGUUAUUGAGAUUACAUGGAUGGACUAACCGAUUGUGAAAGGACAGGCUGGCCAUUGUGUUCUUGGGACCAAAUCUUCUCUACAAAACAAUCAGAACGAGGAGAAGGCAGUGUGUUGCACGAAUCCUAAAUGGUCUUAUAAUCAAAACCCGGAGCCAGAUAUUGGAAUAAAUGCUGAAAGAUCAGAGGAAACAAACCACAGCCACUUCUCACCUCGCCAACUCCUCAGCCGAAAAGAGAAGAUCCUGUCUCCAUGAAUCCUCAGACCGAAUGCCUCUGAGUCCUCUCAUCUGAAAGGGCCUAAUUCCCAUCUCCUGCCUUACAUUCCUUUCCCUGCCCAGCCAUAUCACUUCCUGCCUCAACCUUCCUAGUGCUGGGAUUAAAGGGUCUCACUGUGCAGCCCAACCUGAUCUGGCACUCACCAGGUAGCCUGAGCAGGCAUCAAACACACAGGAGAUUCUCCUGCAUCAGCCUCAGAAGUGCUAGGAUCGCAGGUGUGAGCCACCCGCCCAGCUCCAUUCUCUCUUCUUUCGUGGCGCAGCCAGUGUGGCAGUUAUAACUGGCUUGCUUCCGCCUGCAAACGGCCAGUAUAGAAUCUUGACCCUCCAGCGUUCUCUAUCAACCUUGGGUGCAGGACCACACAAGAAACGGAAGAGUGGGAGGAAGAAGACAUUAGUGAAUGCCAGGACUCAUUUCGUUGGAGGACAGAAGCAAGCACUACCUUCAGUGAUGAGGUCAUUACAACUUCAGAGCAAUUCCAGCCUUCAAGGAAACACGUUCAGGCAAGCAGACCUCUCUAGGCUAGACAGACUUUUGUGUUGUGUUGUAUUUGAUGGCCACAGUACAGUCAGGAGGAAGUCAUCAGGACGACAUUGCUGCAGGACUGGACAAUCUGGAGGGACUCAAAUGAGGAUGAGGCAGAGAGGAAGGCUACCCCAUGCUGUUGUACAUGGACAACUAUGACACAGUCCACAGAGCUGCAGCCAUCUUUUCUUGCCUCUCGGAGCUUGUGAGGUGGUCCCGCUUUGUUCCAGAAGUCCUUAUCCCACGUGUGACAUUCUGCAGAUCAUAAAAACCCAAAGGAUCAAGGCGUGAAGAGUUCAAGCCCCAAACAGCACCCUCUAGGGUUCUGGUGGGAGCCCAGCCAGUGCCAUCACUAGGAUAUUCUCCUGGGAGCUCUGACCUGGUUUCCAUGGUGCUGGGGUACCAGGCUGUAGUCAAGCGCCUCACUUGGGGAGACACCGUGCUGUCUGCAUCAGGAACCUCAGUGUCUACUUGAGACUGCACAUUGGUGGAAAGCCUAAUCUGGGCUUCCAGUCAGUCCAAACGCAAGCUCACCUGAGUCAGAAACUUCACUUUACACAUGAUCAGUCAGGUUCCAGUCUGUGCCUUACUUCUCUAACAAGCCUUCGUCUCUCACAGAAGCCCUCUGAGCAGUCAGACAUGUAGGCUGGGACCCUCUGAGACCUUCAUUCUUCUUCAGUUGGCUAAUGAGUGUUGACAUUGCCACCCGCCCUCUAGGCACUCCAAGGCAGGCCAGCAGUGGGUGUGCCGACCCCUUACAGCCAUACUGGUUCCUGGCCAGAAAAUAUCCUCUUAACCUGUUAACAAAUAUACCAUCUAACAGAAUCAAUUUCUAGUCUCCAUGAACUCCUGAUGUACUACUGUUCUACCCUGAAAUAAGCUUCAUUAACAGACGACACAUCAGUGUCUUCCUCUGGGCUCUGUGAAUGAGCAUAGUGUGCCAUCCAUACACAUAAGUGAACAUAUAUGACACAGGCUGAAAAUUUACACAGAUAGAUACACACACCACACUCAUAUAUAGAAAAGUACACAUGUACACACAUACACACGUGUACACACACACACACACACACACACACACACACACACACACACACACAGAGGAGUUCCACCUCUUGGAAUGCGCACUUUGAUCCCAGAAUCUUAGCCUUUCCUGGGUCUCUGUGGCUGUGUCCCUGGCUCUUGUAUGUUUUAUGGGGCAGAGUUUCUCACUGUUAUUGCAUUUCCUCUGACUCCAAACUCAACAAAAAAGUCCAGGCUGAUGUGGAGUAACGUGCCAGAAUCUCAUUGAUCUGAGGCUGAUCUGACACCCUGAGAUCUGAUCACACUAAGUGUGUUAUCAUGGACACAACCUGGGAGAAGAGACCACUUCCUAGGCAGGUGAGAACCUUACUUUCUAGGCAAAAUUUCAGAAUCAAAUAUGCUUAAUUUCCCAUCUUCCAUGGUGUUCCCCCUUUGCAUUCAGAGAGCUGACUGUUAUGGUUUCAGUAAGAAUGGCCCCCAUAGGUCAUAGACUUGAGUGCUUGGCCAUCUGGGAUUGGUACUACUUGAGAAGGAAUUGGAGGUGUGGCCUUUUGGAGAAAGUGUGUAACUAGCAGUGGACUUGGAGGUCUCAAAAGCCCAUGCCAAGCCCAGCGGCUCCCUUUUCCUGCGGCCUGCAGAUCCAGCUGUAGAAUUCUCAGCUGUUUCUCCAGCACAAUGUCUGCCAGCCUGCUCCCCACAAUGAUGAUAAUGGACUCACCCCCUAAAACUGUAAGCAAGCCCCAACUAAAUGUUCAUUUAUGACUUGCUAUAAAUUUACCUAUUUUAUAUGACAUUGAUGAAGAACAAAGUAACAUUUAAUAAGCAUUGAAUAAGCUGAUGGAUUCCAUUCUUUGUGCUGUUCCUUCUUUCCCCGUGUUCCUGGGGGCGGAGGCCAGGCCUCAAGCAUGCUGAACACACACUCUGCCCACGAGCUACACCCAGUCCUGAUCCUUCAUCCUCUCAACAGCCUGUAAGAUCAUACACAGAAGAGAGGUGUGUCCUGUUCAUGGAGAUGGAACCCCUCGGUGGGCAGACCGAUAUUUCUUCCACUCCAAAAGGUGUCAGUGUGAGAACUCCAGUUCUGAAAUGAGAAAAAGCAGACUCAAGACCUGGAUCCCACAUACAGUUGAUUCUGGAAGCAUUCCUUGAUAGCAAACAUGUGUGUGUAAAUUGACGCUGGACAAGGCUGUUCGAGUUGGAUGGGUCUGAGAAGACAAAAAAAGCCAAGAAUUCCCAGUGAGCCAGCCAGCCAUAUCUGAUAUACUCAGGUGACCAGGAACUGAACAGCUUACUCCUGCUCCUUCACUGCACUUUGCAAGUGUGUGGAUUCCUGACUGCACAGGCUCACAGCUGGGGAAAACAUCUGACUCUCUCACCUGCAUCUGGAAGUGUAAGGAUUCCUGACUGCACAGGCUCACAGCUGGGGAAGGCUGACUGACUCACCUGUGUCAGGAGGUGUCCUGGUCCCUGACUGCACAGGCUCACAGCUGGGGAAGGCUGACUGUCACAUCUGUGUCAGGAAGUGUCCUGGUCUCUGACUGCACAGGCUCACAGCUGGGGAAGGCUGACUGUCACAUCUGUGUCUAAUUGUGACAGGGCAUUGCAAUUUGAAAAUCUUCCUCAUUCAAGAGGAAGCUUUGACUCAUGAAAGUGCUGUAGGAACGUUUGGAUCAGAGCCGCUCAGCCCUCGGCAGAACUUCAACACCAGACUAGGGAACAGUCCAGCAGACAGACACACAGCAGUCUGUGUGUGACUCCAGCGUGCACUCCGGCCCCACACCGGAGCACUGCAGAGCCCUGGACUCAUCUCCAUGAGCCAAAACUGACUCUCCCCAGCGAGACCCACUGCACACCACUGGGAAGAUGAAUGGCUACAAAAAAGCUUUAGGGACAAGCACAGGAUCUCAACUUCUCACACCAGACAUCUGAAACACCUAUGCUCUGGUGAGAAAGUCCACUGUGGUCAGGUCUCUUGCUGUAGAUACUGCAGGAAGCUCACAGAUGUCUGUCCUCAAGUCACUCUCUUGGGCCCAUAAGCUGAAUGUGAGAAUCCUCCACAUCACCACUGGAGGUUGACUGUUUUGAGUCACUGGUCUUUACUCCCCCAAAAUGAACUAGUCCGUUAAAAUCACAGACUCCACUGGUGACCACAGCGCAGUCCCAGGGCACAGGCCGAGUAGCCUCUCAUACCCUCUCCUCCUCCUGUCUGUCUGCUCUUCACACCAACCUUGUCUGCCAGGCGCUGUUUGUACUCCCUGGUGCACCUCUGUAGGAGGUGACGCUCCUGGCCUUGGGAAGAUGAUUUUUCAGUCUGAGAUACAGCACUGAAACAGCAAAUGAGAACAGUUCUAAAGUCAGAAAAGAGAGAAGCCAGGUCGGGAGAGGCAGCCAUGUCUCACACAUGACCUGACCCCGAACCUGCCAUCCUGCUCUGGGGCCACCCUGCUCUGGGGCUCUGCAGCGCCAGCUCCCCUCCCCCCAGGGCUGGGGAUCUGAGGCUUCUGUCUGCGCAGUUCUGUGCUGCUCUGGAGACUUUAGGUCCGCCACUGAGACAGGGAAGAGCCACCUUCUUUAUCGUCCCAGUGCCGACAGUAAUUCCAUAUUUAAGGUCUUUUUUCAGUUUCUCAACAAAGCAUCUAAAGGAAUAGAGCAGAGUGACUAAGAUGUACAUAAAAUGUCCAAAUGUCUAAACGAGGCCCUGAGGAAAUGAGUUUCUGCACAAAGAGUUUCAGAGAUGCCUGGAGGCACACCCUGAAAUCCCGAAUCCCUUCCAUCCCAGUGCCUGAAGAGAGAGAGGCUCACGCUCUCAGUCAGCCAGCACACUCAGCAAACAGCAGCUAUCGAGAAGUAUGGCUAAGCUGACCUGGUGCUUGCUUGUCAUCCCAGUGCUCAGGAGACUGAGGAUUGAAUUAGUGAUCCCUAGAACUUCGAAGAAACAGGCCAUACUGCUGAACUUCCAAACAGGAAAUAAAGACAGCGGGCUCUUUCUUCCACUCCCAAUAACAAUAUGGAUCUUUGCUCAUCCAGUACCUUAGUGUAUUGUUUCUCAUCAGGACACAGGCUCUCCUUAGAGAUCAUUAGGUAAUGACAGGAGACAGAGGGGGUGCCCAGAGCUAGGAGGAACUAUGCUGUGGAGACCUAAUGGGAUGCUGGACCCAGGGAUGCUGCUAACCUGCUUCAACACUCACUCAGUCCAAGAACCAGGAAAGAUUCACGGCUGUGUCAUGAACUGCUUGAGAGGAGGCUGUGCUCAGGACCUCAGUGUGACAAACUGGUGUCUGGGAGGACACACGAGUCCCUGGUAAGACUGACUUGUCCUUGGAGCGGGAGGAAGUGAGAGGGAGUUUUACUAUGAUCUUAAGAGACUGCCUUCCUCUUACAGAAUACCAAAAAUGGAAAACAAAAAGAACCCAUCUUCUAGAAUGAACCCUGAUGUAGGAAUUGCACAACUUGAGAAAUGCUAACGGUGGAAGCUGAGCUCAUCCUAAACCUGAGUUUACUCCCAGGUGAUGUGCCUACACAGCACACCCAGAGUUGUGAAGAUCAAUGAAGUCAUGCCCAGGAAACCCCUCCUCAAUGCCUGAGCUCCUGAGAGCCACACACAUCUCCUUAGGUGGUCCACCAUCCUCUGGUGACUGUGUAGCUACAGGGAAGGCUAACCUCUUUGCUGUAUCACUCAGUAGGCUACAGGAUGAAGAGAAGAAGAAUCUGGGCUCUGCCACACACCAGUGAUAAGCCUGGGACUGGCUACCCAAGUAGAGAAAAGGCAGUCAAAACACUCACCGAUGUGGACACACCCUGCUUACCUGCCAGCUCGUCUAACAGCUGGGCCAUGUGGGCACAGACAGAGCCACGUCUCCUACUCAUAAAAUUCCCGAGUCAUGACAACACCACUUUGGGUCCCCACGUCUUUGAAAGGACAAGCAUAUGUGUGAGCGGCCAGAAACCUGACUGAAAGAUGACAAUGUCAAGUUCAUACUGUCCGCAAAGGUGAGAAGCAUGAAGGGGAGGGCAGGAUGAGUGAGGGAUCCGUCCCGGGAGAGGAGGUGGAAGCUGCACGUUCUCAUGUUAAAAACCUGUGGUGCAGCAUGAAGGCGACUUCUAGAUGUCCGUGUUUAUGGUGGGCUGCUGCCAUCCCUAGGAUGUUUUCCCCCAUGUUGGCGUAGGAGACAUAGGAAAAUUUGCUGUUUGUUUCCACAUUCUGGCUAUGAGUACUUGAAAUUCAGAGUCUCGCUUGUGGCAGGAGACUUGAUACCUAAGAAUGGAAAAUUUCUAGGCCUGGCAUACCCUUAAUAUGGCAGUAAAAUGGCAGUGUAGGGACCGGCAGUGUCUGUGCCCCUUGAAAACAUAGCGCGGAGGAGCUCUUGGGAAGCUUUACCUUAGGGAGCAGACCUUACACGCAGCCCGUUUAUUGAGAACAGCACUAGAAGACUUGAAGCAGCUGUUAGUGGUUGUGCACACGUCAGAGGGUUGUGCAAAAGCAUAAACCCAGCAGUCACCACCCAGGCUUCCCCUGAUAUCACUAGUAAGGGGGGAGCACCUAAGCCUGGGGGGAGCACAGCUCAUGUCCUCCCCAGUGCGAUCCCUGCUGGAAGCAGAAGGCGUGUGAUGGGUGUGCUCAUUAGCUUAGUGUCUCUCAUGCUCAAGUCUGCAGGCACACUUGAGGGACUAUGAGGAUGGAAAACUCUGUCCUUGUUGUUUAAGGAUAUCUGGGUCCAGGGCUGAAAGGCAGGAGAAGGAAACCCUCCUUUGAGAGCCGUGAAUGAGCUCCAUGUACCAGAGCACUGCACAAGCCUGUCGUGAACGUUGCUCAGGACUGAGGGUGUUUAAUUGCAAACAUGUGAUGCACUCUAAAGACAAACUGGUCACACUAUUGACCUGUUCUCUGUGAUCCCACUGGCAAAGUAAGAAAAAGUGAGGCAUGGCCCCUUGGACCAAACGAUAUAAAGUUAACUUUUAAACAUAGAAAAAAAGGCCCUGGGACUUGUCAGUUUGCCACAUAUGAUUGCAUGCAAGUUACCUUUCUUUUCAAGUGCAGUGAGACUUACAUCACUUGCAUCUCCAGCUGUCCAACAUUCUGUAGUACCUGGGCGGCUCUGGUGGUCUGAGCUCCAGGUUUUAAUAUGGCUGCUUCCCGUCAUCAGAUAAGCAAGGAGUUAUGGAAGCAAGUUCCUUUGUGCAUCUGGAAGGUUGUCAGCAAGUGCAUUUCUGAAAUAAUGACCCCAGUGGGCACGGUGGCACAGGCUCGCAGUCCUUCACUUCAGUGGCAGAGGCAGGGCUGCAGCCACACGCUUCAUGGCAGAACGGCACACUCUAAAACAAUUUUAAUGAAAAAAAAUAGGAUUAAAUCAGUGCUUUUUUAAAACACAAGUUUACAAUGAAUUUUUACACAGGGACAACAUUCCUUUAAAACAUGAUAGGGUUUCACCUUUCACAAGAUAGGCCGGGCUUGCUAGGAGUUCAUUACGAAACAGAAGCUAGGCAUGAACUAGCGGUGGUGACUGUGGUGGUGUGAAUGAAAAUGGCCC